rnacentral:rRNA from 1 species
AUCGAUGAAGAACGCAGCGAAAUGCGAUAAGUAAUGCGAAUUGCAGAAUUCAGUGAGUCAUCGAAUCUUUGAACGCACAUUGCGCCCUGUGGUAUUCCGCAGGGCAUGCCUGUUCGAGCGUCAUUUCAACCCUCAAGCUCUGCUUGGUGUUGGGCCCUGCCCGCUCGCGGCCGGCCCUAAAGACAGUGGCGGUGCCGUCUGGCUCUAAGCGUAGUACAUCUCUCGCUCUGGUGCCCGGCGGUGUCCUGCCAGAACCCCCCAACUCUGUGGUUGACCUCGGAUCAGGUAGGGAUACCCGCUGAACUUAAGCAUAUCAAUAAGCGGAGGAAAAGAAACCAACAGGGAUUGCCUCAGUAACGGCGAGUGAAGCGGCAACAGCUCAAAUUUGAAAUCUGGCCCUUUCAGGGUCCGAGUUGUAAUUUGUAGAAGAUGCUUCGGGUGCGGCGCCGGUCUAAGUUCCUUGGAACAGGACGUCACAGAGGGUGAGAAUCCCGUACGUGCCCGGUGGUCGCCCCCGUGUGAAGCUCUUUCGACGAGUCGAGUUGUUUGGGAAUGCAGCUCAAAAUGGGUGGUAAAUUUCAUCUAAAGCUAAAUAUUGGCCAGAGACCGAUAGCGCACAAGUAGAGUGAUCGAAAGAUGAAAAGCACUUUGGAAAGAGAGUUAAACAGUACGUGAAAUUGUUGAAAGGGAAGCGCUUGCAACCAGACUUGCGCGCGGCCGAUCAUCUGGUGUUCGCACCAGUGCACUCGACCGCGCGCAGGCCAGCAUCGGUUUAGGUGGCUGGAUAAAGGCCUCGGGAAUGUGGCUCCCCUCGGGGAGUGUUAUAGCCCGAGGUGCAAUGCAGCCUACCUGGACCGAGGACCGCGCUCCGGCUAGGAUGCUGGCGUAAUGGUUGUAAGCGACCCGUCUUGAAACACGG